UCUAGGACAGGGAAUGAGGUUCUCCCUUGGUUCAUACCUAAACUGCUUACAAAGCUGAUGACUUCUGUUUUUUA
rnacentral:ncRNA from 1 species